AUUCUCUACAUCCAAUCAUAGACAUGCGGAAGAAUUUAAUAGAAUCUGACCUGUUACAAUUUGGGAACAUCUAAAAAAAUGCUCAGGCUACACCAAUACGCACCUGUGGCUGGGGUGUCAAAAUGUCCGGACUGGACUCGAAUGUUGGUCGGGUUUCAAUUUUUAAACCCAGACCCGUAAAUUUCCCGGACGGACUCGGAGACACCCUUGGCAGACGCUCCUGUGAAUGCUGCAGAUAAUAAGACUCAACCAAGCAAUCGGUUUGUCAAGCAUGUGUGGAAAUUCAUGUUAGAAACAUGGACGAUAGUGAUGAAGAUACCAGAUGAGAAUUAUCUGGGUAUGUGAUCAGAUUCUUGGUCCCUCUUUCCCAUCUCUCUUUCAGUUCUUUCUUCAUUUCAUAUACGUCUGAUUUGUGAGUCUGUCUUAUUCGUUUUCUUUGAUAUGGGUUUAUUCUUCGCAUGGAAAUUCAAUAUCCCUUGAGACCGAUUCUUUUCUUACUCAUUCGAUUUUUAUUAUGCGGACGUCUUCAUUGAUCUUUCUUUUUGGAUUGUCGAAAAUCUUUGUUGAUUUUCUAGUUCCUGACUUGGACCGAGAUCUUUCUGAUCGAUGCCUUUUCUUUUUAUCGCAUCUUCAUUUAUCUUUCCGACCAAUGUCCUUUAAAUCGUGUUUUCAUUUGUAUUCCUUAUCGAUAUCCUUACGAUCAAAUCAUGUCUUUGAUACCUUGGAGGCUUUAUUAGUCGUUUAAGUCGUGGACGCUUUGAUUCAUCACACACACACACACAUAUAUAUAUAUAUAUAUAUAUAUAUCGAAGAAGUUUGAUACAUUAUUUAAUUGUUGAUGUGCUUUCUCAAUAUAGGUCUUGUGAAUUGUAUUUUUCCAAAGUCGAAGUUCAUUAGUUCCAUGUGGAAAAUAUUAGAAUGCGACGGAUUAUGUCCGUUUAGUUUAGGUUGAUUCUUUCUGAUUUGAUUUGCUUGGAAUUUGUUAUAAUUUUCUCUGUUUUUUUUGUGUGUUUAAAGAACAUGUUCCUCACUCUGGUCAAUUACACAUAAAUUUGUCUCGUAAAAUUGAAUAUA